rnacentral:tRNA from 1 species
GCUGCUGGCAAAGCGGUUAUGUGAUCAGCUGUUAACUGAAAGUUUGGUGGUUUGAAUCCACUUGCUGCU